rnacentral:rRNA from 1 species
GGGUUGUGAGGUUAAGCGACUAAGCGUACACGGUGGAUGCCCUGGCAGUCAGAGGCGAUGAAGGACGUGCUAAUCUGCGAAAAGCGCCGGCGAGGUGAUAUGAACCUUUGACCCGGCGAUGUCCGAAUGGGGAAACCCAGUGUGAUUCGUCACACUAUCGUUAACUGAAUACAUAGGUUAACGAGGCGAACCGGGGGAACUGAAACAUCUAAGUACCCCGAGGAAAAGAAAUCAACCGAGAUUCCCCCAGUAGCGGCGAGCGAACGGGGAGCAGCCCAGAGUCUGAAUCAGCUUGUGUGUUAGUGGAAGCGUCUGGAAAGUCGCACGGUACAGGGUGACAGUCCCGUACACGAAAGCACACAGGUUGUGAACUCGAAGAGUAGGGCGGGACACGUGGUAUCCUGUCUGAAUAUGGGGGGACCAUCCUCCAAGGCUAAAUACUCCUGACUGACCGAUAGUGAACCAGUACCGUGAGGGAAAGGCGAAAAGAACCCCGGCGAGGGGAGUGAAAAAGAACCUGAAACCGUGUACGUACAAGCAGUGGGAGCACCUUCGGGUGUGACUGCGUACCUUUUGUAUAAUGGGUCAGCGACUUAUAUUCUGUAGCAAGGUUAACCGUAUAGGGGAGCCGAAGGGAAACCGAGUCUUAACUGGGCGUUAAGUUGCAGGGUAUAGACCCGAAACCCGGUGAUCUAGCCAUGGGCAGGUUGAAGGUUGGGUAACACUAACUGGAGGACCGAACCGACUAAUGUUGAAAAAUUAGCGGAUGACUUGUGGCUGGGGGUGAAAGGCCAAUCAAACCGGGAGAUAGCUGGUUCUCCCCGAAAGCUAUUUAGGUAGCGCCUCGUGAACUCAUCUUCGGGGGUAGAGCACUGUUUCGGCUAGGGGGCCAUCCCGGCUUACCAACCCGAUGCAAACUACGAAUACCGAAGAAUGUUAUCACGGGAGACACACGGCGGGUGCUAACGUCCGUCGUGAAGAGGGAAACAACCCAGACCGCCAGCUAAGGUCCCAAAGUCAUGGUUAAGUGGGAAACGAUGUGGGAAGGCACAGACAGCCAGGAUGUUGGCUUAGAAGCAGCCAUCAUUUAAAGAAAGCGUAAUAGCUCACUGGUCGAGUCGGCCUGCGCGGAAGAUGUAACGGGGCUAAACCAUGCACCGAAGCUGCGGCAGCGACGCUUAUGCGUUGUUGGGUAGGGGAGCGUUCUGUAAGCCGUUGAAGGUGGCCUGUGAGGGUUGCUGGAGGUAUCAGAAGUGCGAAUGCUGACAUAAGUAACGAUAAAGCGGGUGAAAAGCCCGCUCGCCGGAAGACCAAGGGUUCCUGUCCAACGUUAAUCGGGGCAGGGUGAGUCGACCCCUAAGGCGAGGCCGAAAGGCGUAGUCGAUGGGAAACAGGUUAAUAUUCCUGUACUUGGUGUUACUGCGAAGGGGGGACGGAGAAGGCUAUGUUAGCCGGGCGACGGUUGUCCCGGUUUAAGCAUGUAGGCGGAACGAUUAGGUAAAUCCGGUCGUUUUUUAACGCUGAGGUGUGAUGACGAGGCACUACGGUGCUGAAGUAACAAAUGCCCUGCUUCCAGGAAAAGCCUCUAAGCAUCAGGUAACAUCAAAUCGUACCCCAAACCGACACAGGUGGUCAGGUAGAGAAUACCAAGGCGCUUGAGAGAACUCGGGUGAAGGAACUAGGCAAAAUGGUGCCGUAACUUCGGGAGAAGGCACGCUGAUAUGUAGGUGAAGCCCCUGCGGGUGGAGCUGAAAUCAGUCGAAGAUACCAGCUGGCUGCAACUGUUUAUUAAAAACACAGCACUGUGCAAACACGAAAGUGGACGUAUACGGUGUGACGCCUGCCCGGUGCCGGAAGGUUAAUUGAUGGGGUUAGCGGCAACGCGAAGCUCUUGAUCGAAGCCCCGGUAAACGGCGGCCGUAACUAUAACGGUCCUAAGGUAGCGAAAUUCCUUGUCGGGUAAGUUCCGACCUGCACGAAUGGCGUAAUGAUGGCCAGGCUGUCUCCACCCGAGACUCAGUGAAAUUGAACUCGCUGUGAAGAUGCAGUGUACCCGCGGCAAGACGGAAAGACCCCGUGAACCUUUACUAUAGCUUGACACUGAACACUGGUCCUUGAUGUGUAGGAUAGGUGGGAGGCUUUGAAGUGUGGACGCCAGUCUGCAUGGAGCCGUCCUUGAAAUACCACCCUUUAAUGGCUGGUGUUCUAACGUAGACCCGUGAUCCGGGUUGCGGACAGUGUCUGGUGGGUAGUUUGACUGGGGCGGUCUCCUCCCAAAGAGUAACGGAGGAGCACGAAGGUUAGCUAAUCCUGGUCGGACAUCAGGAGGUUAGUGCAAUGGCAUAAGCUAGCUUGACUGCGAGAGUGACGGCUCGAGCAGGUGCGAAAGCAGGUCAUAGUGAUCCGGUGGUUCUGAAUGGAAGGGCCAUCGCUCAACGGAUAAAAGGUACUCCGGGGAUAACAGGCUGAUACCGCCCAAGAGUUCAUAUCGACGGCGGUGUUUGGCACCUCGAUGUCGGCUCAUCACAUCCUGGGGCUGAAGUAGGUCCCAAGGGUAUGGCUGUUCGCCAUUUAAAGUGGUACGCGAGCUGGGUUUAGAACGUCGUGAGACAGUUCGGUCCCUAUCUGCCGUGGGCGCUGGAGAAUUGAGGGGGGCUGCUCCUAGUACGAGAGGACCGGAGUGGACGCAUCACUGGUGUUCGGGUUGUCAUGCCAAUGGCACUGCCCGGUAGCUAAAUGCGGAAAAGAUAAGUGCUGAAAGCAUCUAAGCACGAAACUUGCCCCGAGAUGAGUUCUCCCUGAGACUUUAAGUCUCCUGAAGGAACGUUGAAGACGACGACGUUGAUAGGUCGGGUGUGUAAGCGCAGCGAUGCGUUGAGCUAACCGAUACUAAUGAACCGUGAGGCUUAACCUUACAACGCCGAAGCUGUU